rnacentral:rRNA from 1 species
CCUACGGGGGGCAGCAGUGAGGAAUAUUGGUCAAUGGACGAGAGUCUGAACCAGCCAAGCAGCGUGAAGGAUGACUGCCCUAUGGGUUGUAAACUUCUUUUAUAUGGGAAUAAAAUGUUCCACGUGUGGGAUUUUGUAUGUACCAUACGAAUAAGGAUCGGCUAACUCCGUGCCAGCAGCCGCGGUAAUACGGAGGAUCCGAGCGUUAUCCGGAUUUAUUGGGGUUAAAGGGAGCGUAGGUGGAUUGUUAAGUCAGUUGUGAAAGUUUGCGGCUCAACCGUAAAAUUGCAGUUGAUACUGGCAGUCUUGAGUACAGUAGAGGUAGGCGGAAUUCGUGGUGUAGCGGUGAAAUGCUUAGAUAUCACGAAGAACACCGAUUGCGAAGGCAGUUCACUGGACUGCAACUGACGCUGAGGCUCGAAAGUGUGGGGAUCAAACAGGAUUAGAUACCCUUGUAGUC